CCUACGGUCUGCAGCAGUGGGGAAUAUUGGACAAUGGGCGAAAGCCUGAUCCAGCCAUGCCGCGUGUGUGAAGAAGGCCUUCGGGUUGUAAAGCACUUUCAGUGGGGAAGAAAGCCUUGGGGCUAAUACCCUCGAGGAAGGACAUCACCCACAGAAGAAGCACCGGCUAACUCCGUGCCAGCAGCCGCGGUAAUACGGCGGGUGCGAGCGUUAAUCGGAAUUACUGGGCGUAAAGCGCGCGUAGGCGGUCUGAUAAGCCGGUUGUGAAAGCCCCGGGCUCAACCUGGGAACGGCAUCCGGAACUGUCAGGCUAGAGUGCAGGAGAGGAAGGUAGAAUUCCCGGUGUAGCGGUGAAAUGCGUAGAGAUCGGGAGGAAUACCAGUGGCGAAGGCGGCCUUCUGGACUGACACUGACGCUGAGGUGCGAAAGCGUGGGUAGCAAACAGGAUUAGAUACCCCAGUAGUC
rnacentral:rRNA from 1 species